rnacentral:misc_RNA from 1 species
GUUCGCGUGGUGGAAGCCUGCUGGGUAGAAUAUUGCAGGCACCUAACAGGUGGGAGAGAGGAGGAGAAGAUAGGAUUUUUAUUUAGGAGAUUUGGGUUUGAGGAAAUUGGUAACUUAGGAGAAAGAGAGAGGUAGAAAGGAAAUGACAAGAGUUUGAGAUGCAAUUGAGAGGAGCAAAGGGCGGUUCUUGCAGCAGCGGUCGCCAUUUUUCGUUGGGCUUUGCUCACUCUGCGACCAUUCUCGUUUUUGUUUCUUC